CGGGGAGUGGCGCAGUUUGGUAGCGCGCUUGCUUUGGGAGCAAGAUGCCGCAGGUUCAAAUCCUGUCUCCCCGAC
rnacentral:tRNA from 1 species